rnacentral:rRNA from 1 species
GGGAUGGACCAACCUCUGGUGCACCAGUUGUCACGCCAGUGGCACAGCUGGGUAGCUAUGUUGGGACUGGAUAAACGCUGAAAGCAUCUAAGCGUGAAGCCAACCUCAAGAUGAGAUUUCCCAUAGCGUAAGCUAGUAAGACUCCUGGAAGAACACCAGGUUGAUAGGUCAGAGAUGUAAGCAUGGCAACAUGUUAAGUUGACUGAUACUAAUAAGUCGAGGGCUUGACCAA